rnacentral:rRNA from 1 species
UACCAGCACCCCGAGUGGUCGGGACGAUUAUUGGGCCUAAAGCAUCCGUAGCCGGCCUUACAAGUCCCCCGUUAAAUCCAACUGCUUAACAGAUGGGCUGCGGAGGAUACUAUAAGACUAGGAGGCAGGAGAGGCAAGCGGUACUCAGUGGGUAGGGGUAAAAUCCGUUGAUCCAUUGAAGACCACCAGUGGCGAAGGCGGCUCACUGGACCGGAACUGACGCUGAGGCGCGAAAGCGUGGGGAGCAAACAGG